GCCUUUGGGGUAUAAUUAGAAACCACAUUCGACUAGCAUUCGGAUGACUCUGAGUUCGAAUCUCAGUGAGGACA
rnacentral:tRNA from 1 species